rnacentral:lncRNA from 1 species
GGAAAUGGACUCUUAUUUUUCUUGCAAUAGUAUAAAGGAUCUUUUAUAACAGUUGUUUUUUAUUUGACUUAACUUGAUUUAGUCUGCUUGAUUCAAGAACAGGCGAGUACAAGCCAUGAGUGGAUGAAAAUGUUUUCAGAUUUCACGUUUCCAAAUGGGCAGCGCUGAAAACAUUGAAUCUACUUGGCCAUUUGAUACAAGUGCUGGGAAGACUGGUCUCCUUGGACGAAUAGAUCAGUGAGGCAUAAAGACAGAAAGGUAAGCAUUUGACAAGUUGUUUUUGGAAU